UCAGAUGCCCAGCUGAGUCGAGUUGCCGAUGUGAUCGGUCGCUACCACCGUAAGCUGAACACCAUGGACUUGCCAUUGACAACAUCGAUCACCAAAGUCUCUUCCUCCUUGACUGACUACACCAUUGAGUUUCCAAGUCCUUAUGGAUGAUAUUAGUGUUCGUUGCAAAAGGUAAAGAAGGUGAAUGGUGUUUUGGUUGGGAACCUGCAGCGUUUGUUCUUAGAUGAUAAGCCAGAAAUAUUCAGGAGGCAAAGCUCCUAUUUGGCUGACUCAAUUUUGACAGAGGAAGAAGGGGAUUCAUCUACUAAUAAGAACCCAAGUUCUUCAGCCUGAGAUGUAACACUAUUAUUCUUCGCUCCCCAAAUUAUUUUUCAUCCUUUCUUAGUUACCAUGAGGGCUGCAGGACCCAUGUUGAGUUCAGAUAUGUAUCAUCGCAAAAGCAAAUGAUUUUCAUGAGUCGGAGAGUCCUUUAUUCGUCAUGUAAAUUUUUUGGAUGAUGGAGACAGAUUUAUAGAAAGUUUUAGUAGCAAAUAGAAACAUGAGUAAGUCUCCUUC